AUCCAGCUGAUGAGUCCUAUAUAAGACAAAACACGCGUCCUAGAU
rnacentral:hammerhead_ribozyme from 1 species